rnacentral:rRNA from 1 species
UACGGAGGGUGCAAGCGUUGUCCGGAUUUAUUGGGUUUAAAGGGUGCGUAGGUGGGUAUGUAAGUCUGGUUUGAAAGUUGGUCGCUUAACGAUCAAGGGUGGCUGGAUACUGUUUACCUUGAAUAUUGUGGAGGUAGCCGGAAUGGGUUGUGUAGCGGUGAAAUGCAUAGAUAUGACCCGGAACACCAAUUGCGAAGGCAGGCUACUACGCAAUGAUUGACACUGAGGCACGAGAGCAUGGGGAGCAAACAGG